GUAUAAAGUCCAUCAGCUUUAUCGAAGAAAACAAACGCAAAGUUCCAUAUUUAGUCACAAAUGUCCUUUUCAAAAUGCAUUAAGUGUUUUGGUAUACCACCCCUCUGGAAUUUAGUAAUUAGCCAUAAACUGAACUGUGACACAUUCUAAAAAAGCUAAUCUGCUUUGGCUAUGCUGAACAACCCACCUCCUAAAUUUUAAUUGGGCAGUCUAACUUGACUGACACCUACAUGAACCAAUUGUAGAUACUUCUAGCUUUCAAACAAGCCCAAACUCGACAUGAUUGACCACUCAGAGGCUGAGAAAAUGAAAUGUGUAAUCAGCACAACUAAACCUUUUACACGCGCAACCAUUGGUCUUGAGUUGUGUGUCAGCGGGUACAGGCCAAUCAGCAAAGUGCUACAGGGCCAUGCAGAGAAACUAUCAGUAAAUGGCAGCUCUGCACUAGCGGUCUUCCUACAAAACUUUACACAGCAAGUUUUUUGCAUGUUUGGCAGUUUUUUCUGAUCGCGAGUUUUCUAUUGGUUUUCGCUCAGCGUGCGAUUUAUCGGCGUCUUAUAGCAGCGGAGUGCUCCCGAAAAAGCCUGAAUGCAUCACCGCUUCUGGAGGAGUUAUUUCGGAGUGGCUCUUUUUUUUUGGAGGAAGACGGUGUGGAUUGAGUUGAGGAGUAUUCCAGCAUGGAGUGGGCAUGGUCCUUGGCAGGGCGGCCGUGGAUCAGAUGGUAGAGCGGGUUGUCCACUAAUCGUAGUGUUGGCGGUUCGAUUCCCGGCACACAUGACUCCACAUACCGGAGUGUCCUUGGGACACUGAACCCCAAGUUGCUCCCGAUGGCAAGUUAGCACCUUGCAUGGCAGCUCUGCUACCAUUGGUCUGUAGAAGAAGAAAAAUGCUCCUGAUCCUCCUCACACUUCUUCUGAGGCCUUCUCCCAAAACAUCCACAUGCAGGUUUCCACUACAAAACUGACAGCUCCAUCUACCCCCUCAUAGAAGUCAGAGGAGAGGGGUCACUCGUGUGUCUAUCAUUUGAGCCAUUAGGAGAGCAAGUGCUCCUGCACCUGGGGCUCUGGCACUAUUUUUAAUAAACAUUAUAUUUUAUAAGUA